GGUUAAGCGACUAAGCGUACACGGUGGAUGCCCUGGCAGUCAGAGGCGAUGAAGGACGUGCUAAUCUGCGAAAAGCGCCGGCGAGGUGAUAUGAACCCUUGACCCGGCGAUGUCCGAAUGGGGAAACCCAGUGCAAUCCGUUGCACUAUCGUUAACUGAAUACAUAGGUUAACGAGGCGAACCGGGGGAACUGAAACAUCUAAGUACCCCGAGGAAAAGAAAUCAACCGAGAUUCCCCCAGUAGCGGCGAGCGAACGGGGAGCAGCCCGGAGUCUGAAUCAGCUUGUGUGUUAGUGGAACGGUCUGGAAAGUCCGACGGUACAGGGUGAUAGUCCCGUACACGAAAGCACACUUGCUGUGAACUCGAAGAGUAGGGCGGGACACGUGGUAUCCUGUCUGAAUAUGGGGGGACCAUCCUCCAAGGCUAAAUACUCCUGACUGACCGAUAGUGAACCAGUACCGUGAGGGAAAGGCGAAAAGAACCCCGGCGAGGGGAGUGAAAAAGAACCUGAAACCGUGUACGUACAAGCAGUGGGAGCCUCUUUAUGGGGUGACUGCGUACCUUUUGUAUAAUGGGUCAGCGACUUAUAUUCUGUAGCAAGGUUAACCGUAUAGGGGAGCCGAAGGGAAACCGAGUCUUAACUGGGCGUUAAGUUGCAGGGUAUAGACCCGAAACCCGGUGAUCUAGCCAUGGGCAGGUUGAAGGUUGGGUAACACUAACUGGAGGACCGAACCGACUAAUGUUGAAAAAUUAGCGGAUGACCUGUGGCUGGGGGUGAAAGGCCAAUCAAACCGGGAGAUAGCUGGUUCUCCCCGAAAGCUAUUUAGGUAGCGCCUCGUGAACUCAUCUUCGGGGGUAGAGCACUGUUUCGGCUAGGGGGCCAUCCCGGCUUACCAACCCGAUGCAAACUACGAAUACCGAAGAAUGUUAUCACGGGAGACACACGGCGGGUGCUAACGUCCGUCGUGAAGAGGGAAACAACCCAGACCGCCAGCUAAGGUCCCAAAGUCAUGGUUAAGUGGGAAACGAUGUGGGAAGGCACAGACAGCCAGGAUGUUGGCUUAGAAGCAGCCAUCAUUUAAAGAAAGCGUAAUAGCUCACUGGUCGAGUCGGCCUGCGCGGAAGAUGUAACGGGGCUAAACCAUGCACCGAAGCUGCGGCAGCGACACUAUGUGUUGUUGGGUAGGGGAGCGUUCUGUAAGCCGUUGAAGGUGUGCUGUGAGGCAUGCUGGAGGUAUCAGAAGUGCGAAUGCUGACAUAAGUAACGAUAAAGCGGGUGAAAAGCCCGCUCGCCGGAAGACCAAGGGUUCCUGUCCAACGUUAAUCGGGGCAGGGUGAGUCGACCCCUAAGGCGAGGCCGAAAGGCGUAGUCGAUGGGAAACAGGUUAAUAUUCCUGUACUUGGUGUUACUGCGAAGGGGGGACGGAGAAGGCUAUGUCAGCCGGGCGACGGUUGUCCCGGUUUAAGCAUGUAGGCGGAGGUUCCAGGUAAAUCCGGUACCUUUUAACGCUGAGGUGUGAUGACGAGGCACUACGGUGCUGAAGUGAUAAAUGCCCUGCUUCCAGGAAAAGCCUCUAAGCAUCAGGUAACACGAAAUCGUACCCCAAACCGACACAGGUGGUCAGGUAGAGAAUACCAAGGCGCUUGAGAGAACUCGGGUGAAGGAACUAGGCAAAAUGGUGCCGUAACUUCGGGAGAAGGCACGCUGAUGUGUAGGUGAAGCCCCUGCGGGCGGAGCUGAAAUCAGUCGAAGAUACCAGCUGGCUGCAACUGUUUAUUAAAAACACAGCACUGUGCAAACACGAAAGUGGACGUAUACGGUGUGACGCCUGCCCGGUGCCGGAAGGUUAAUUGAUGGGGUUAGCGGCAACGCGAAGCUCUUGAUCGAAGCCCCGGUAAACGGCGGCCGUAACUAUAACGGUCCUAAGGUAGCGAAAUUCCUUGUCGGGUAAGUUCCGACCUGCACGAAUGGCGUAAUGAUGGCCAGGCUGUCUCCACCCGAGACUCAGUGAAAUUGAACUCGCUGUGAAGAUGCAGUGUACCCGCGGCAAGACGGAAAGACCCCGUGAACCUUUACUAUAGCUUGACACUGAACACUGGUCCUUGAUGUGUAGGAUAGGUGGGAGGCUUUGAAGCGUGGACGCCAGUCUGCGUGGAGCCAACCUUGAAAUACCACCCUUUAAUGGCUGGUGUUCUAACGUAGACCCGUAAUCCGGGUUGCGGACAGUGUCUGGUGGGUAGUUUGACUGGGGCGGUCUCCUCCCAAAGAGUAACGGAGGAGCACGAAGGUUGGCUAAUCCUGGUCGGACAUCAGGAGGUUAGUGCAAUGGCAUAAGCCAGCUUGACUGCGAGCGUGACGGCGCGAGCAGGUGCGAAAGCAGGUCAUAGUGAUCCGGUGGUUCUGAAUGGAAGGGCCAUCGCUCAACGGAUAAAAGGUACUCCGGGGAUAACAGGCUGAUACCGCCCAAGAGUUCAUAUCGACGGCGGUGUUUGGCACCUCGAUGUCGGCUCAUCACAUCCUGGGGCUGAAGUAGGUCCCAAGGGUAUGGCUGUUCGCCAUUUAAAGUGGUACGCGAGCUGGGUUUAGAACGUCGUGAGACAGUUCGGUCCCUAUCUGCCGUGGGCGCUGGAGAAUUGAGGGGGGCUGCUCCUAGUACGAGAGGACCGGAGUGGACGCAUCACUGGUGUUCGGGUUGUCAUGCCAAUGGCACUGCCCGGUAGCUAAAUGCGGAAGAGAUAAGUGCUGAAAGCAUCUAAGCACGAAACUUGCCCCGAGAUGAGUUCUCCCUGAGACUU
rnacentral:rRNA from 1 species